UACGGAGGGGGCUAGCGUUGUUCGGAAUUACUGGGCGUAAAGGGCGCGUAGGCGGCGCGAUAAGUUGGGCGUGAAAGGCCCGGGCUCAACCCGGGGACUGCGCUUGAUACUGUCGCGCUGUGAGUCCGGGAGAGGAUGGCGGAAUUCCCAGUGUAGAGGUGAAAUUCGUAGAUAUUGGGAAGAACACCGGUGGCGAAGGCGGCCUGCUGGGCAGUAGCUGACACUGAGGCGCGACAGCGUGGGGAGCAAACAGG
rnacentral:rRNA from 1 species